GACGAACGCUGGCGGCGUGCUUAACACAUGCAAGUCGAACGGAAAGACCCUGCUUUUGUGGGGUGCUCGAGUGGCGAACGGGUGAGUAACACGUGAGUAACCUGCCCUUGACUUUGGGAUAACUUCAGGAAACUGGGGCUAAUACCGGAUAGGAGCUCCUGCUGCAUGGUGGGGGUUGGAAAGUUUCGGCGGUUGGGGAUGGACUCGCGGCUUAUCAGCUUGUUGGUGGGGUAGUGGCUUACCAAGGCUUUGACGGGUAGCCGGCCUGAGAGGGUGACCGGCCACAUUGGGACUGAGAUACGGCCCAGACGGCUACGGGAGGCAGCAGGGGGGAGUAUUGCACAAUGGGCGGAAGCCUGAUGCAGAAACGCCGCGUGCGGGAUGACGGCCUUCGGGUUGUAAACCGCUUUCGCCUGUGACGAAGCGUGAGUGACGGUAAUGGGUAAAGAAGCACCGGCUAACUACGUG
rnacentral:rRNA from 1 species